UACGUAGGGGGCCAGCGUUGCUCGGAAUUACUGGGCGUAAAGGGUCCGUAGGCGGUGUGAUAAGUCGAUAGUGAAAUCUCUGGGCUUAACCCAGAGGCUGCUAACGAAACUGUCAUGCUAGAGUGUGAGAGAGGCGAGUGGAAUUACGGGUGUAGCGGUGAAAUGCGUAGAUAUCCGUAGGAACAUCCGAGGCGAAAGCGGCGCGCUGGACCACAACUGACGCUGAGGAACGAAAGCUAGGGGAGCAAACAGG
rnacentral:rRNA from 1 species